GAGAUAUGAUGAGCAAAUUUAUUGGUCCGUGUUUCUGAAUUUACAGUGACGAUAGAUCUUUAACCAAACUCUGAUCUC